rnacentral:rRNA from 1 species
CAGUCGCCGCGGGAAUACGAGGGGUGCAAGCGUUAAUCGGAAUUACUGGGCGUAAAGCGUGCGUAGGCGGUUUGUUAAGUCUGUUGUGAAAUCCCCGGGCUCAACCUGGGAAUGGCAAUGGAUACUGGCAAGCUAGAGUGUGUCAGAGGAUGGUGGAAUUCCCGGUGUAGCGGUGAAAUGCGUAGAGAUCGGGAGGAACAUCAGUGGCGAAGGCGGCCAUCUGGGACAACACUGACGCUGAGGCACGAAAGCGUGGGGAGCAAACAGGAUUAGAUACCCCCGUAGUCCCUGUCUCUUAUAC